rnacentral:rRNA from 1 species
UACGUAGGGCGCGAGCGUUGUCCGGAAUUAUUGGGCGUAAAGAGCUCGUAGGCGGUUUGUCGCGUCGGUUGUGAAAACCCAAGGCUCAACCUUGGGCCUGCAAUCGAUACGGGCAGACUAGAGUACUGCAGGGGAGACUGGAAUUCCUGGUGUAGCGGUGGAAUGCGCAGAUAUCAGGAGGAACACCGGUGGCGAAGGCGGGUUUCUGGGCAGUAACUGACGCUGAGGAGCGAAAGCGUGGGGAGCGAACAGG